GAAGAAGGCGGCCACAGCGGCGUGGAGUGUAGGCUCCCCAUGGGGAACACGUUGACCUGUUGCGUGAAGCCCAGUGCCAGCCCCAAGCUGGGCCGGCGCUCGGGGCCGGCAGAGCCGGACUACGAGUCUGAGGUCUAUGAGGCGGCGGCUGGGGACGCGGUGGCAGUAGCGCCGUCGCCGGCUGCUCUGGAGCCCGCGGAGUUGGAUUUCGGAACCGGCGAGGGCCACCACCUGCAGCACAUCAGCGACCGGGAGAUGCCGGACGAGUUAGCGUUGGAAUCAAACCCGUCUGACCAUCCAAGGGCAAGCACAAUUUUCCUGAACAAAUCUCAAACGGAUGUGCGAGAAAAGAGGAAGAACAACUAUGUAAACCAUGUAUCUCCAGGGCACCUUACUAAAAAGUAUAGCUCAUGCUCAACAAUAUUUCUAGAUGACAGCACAGUCAGCCAGCCUAAUCUUAGAACCACAGUCCAAUGUGUGACCUUAGCGAUAUAUUACCACAUAAAGAACAGAGAUGCAAAUAGAUCGUUGGAUAUUUUUGAUGAGAGAUCACAUCCACUCACACGAGAAACAGUUCCAGAGGAAUACUUUAAGCAUGAUCCUGAACACAAAUUUAUUUACAGAUUUGUUCGGACUCUUUUCAGUGCUGCACAGCUAACAGCGGAAUGUGCAAUAGUAACUUUGGUUUACUUGGAGAGGCUUUUAACUUACGCUGAGAUCGACAUUUGUCCCACUAACUGGAAGAGAAUUGUUUUGGGAGCCGUUCUUCUUGCCUCCAAGGUUUGGGAUGACCAGGCUGUAUGGAAUGUGGACUACUGCCAGAUCCUCAAGGACAUUACCGUUGAGGACAUGAAUGAGAUGGAAAGGCAUUUUUUGGAGCUACUUCAGUUUAAUAUUAAUGUUCCUGCCAGUGUUUAUGCCAAAUACUAUUUUGACCUUCGAUCCUUAGCCGAUGACAACGACCUGCCUUUUGUAUAUGCUCCUCUUAGCAGAGAAAGAGCACAGAACCUAGAGGCCAUUUCCAGAUUAUGUGAAGACAAGGACCUGUGCCGAGCUGCUCUGAGAAGGUCACUCAGCGCUGAUAAUUUUAUUGGUAUUCAGCGUUCUAAAGCCAUCCUCUCUUAAGGGAGAAAUGAGGGAUUGUAAUAUCGUGAGCCCCUCAUCUACAAGGACUGGAGAAACAUCAUCUCUCCUGCUCAAGAACCAGCAAAAUUUUGGUAAAGGAAGAGUAUGAGGAGCAGUGUUAAUACACAUGUAAUAAAUGGAAAGGAAUUGGACCCUAAUAGUAGUGUUAUGAAAGCAGGUGAAUGAACCAGCUUUUCUAUCUUACAUGUUGACUUGUUUGUAGGUGUCCCAUUUAAGUCUUGCUAUUUAAGAGGAAAUGUAUAAAUCUUAGGAACCCUUACCUCAGGCUUUAAAGGGCAGGGAGUUAAGUAAUCAAUCUUUUAGGAGGUUGGUAAAAUGUCACCUAAACUUGAAAUACUUUUAAAGAUUAAUGUUCUCAACUAUUUGAAAUCUUGCUCCUACCUUCUCAAAUGUAUUCCUAGAAAUUUUGCCUAUGAACAAAAGCAUUUCUGGGCCAAGGAAUACUUUCACUAUAUAGCAAGGCUUCACAUUAUAUUGAGUGCUGCUGGUUCCAUCAUUUUAAAAGGACAGAAACAAAAGAAUAAUGGUAUAUAAAAUAUUACAAUCUACCACCUCAAAAAAAUAUUGUUUAUGGAGUUCAGAGCUUGGAGAUUAAAGUAUUGAUUGCAGUUUUAUUUUGAAAAGAAUGCUACAACUUACGUGGUUUUUCUUCCUCAUGUUUAUAUUAAAAGCUAAUA